UUUUCUUUUUCCUUUUCCGUGACGUUCUUCGAUUUCACGACCUGGACGCCGCCACAUGGCGCUGUACGGCAGGGCGAUCGGCGCUUUGCGCCGGCACCAAGACGGGGCUAUCGGCGCGGUAGUCCUGGCUCUCGUGCUGUGCGUAUGCGUGCCGCUGCUGGCGGUGGUGCCCGAGUCACGGCCGUACGGUGCCACCUUCAUUGCGUGGGCGCUUGCGUUCGCCGUGCGUGCGUGGCGGUGCUUGCCGCGAGAGAGGGCGCACGUGUGCAGGGCCGCGCAUCGCUUGGCCGAUGCUAGGAUGCGGCAGCGCGGCGUGGGCAAGGUACUGAUGCCCUACACGGAGGAGUCUCGCUUGAUGUCCGUGGCGCGCUACAACAGAGGCAAUCGACUGCCGAGCUGCUCGUCAACGGAGGCAAGGACGAGGUGCCGCGGGUUUCUGGCGAUCGGAAGCCGCUCGCCGACCCCCACUCACCAGGCGCGGGUGGGCAUGGGGCACAAUGGCAUUUCUGCCAACAGCAGUGGCACGACGAAUAGCGCCGCUGCUGCGUCGGCCCCAUUGUCCUGUGAUCUGUUCCUGUCGACCUCUGCGCUGGAGUCUUCAGCCCAGUUUCUUGCGCUGACUCACGUGGCUUCGCGCCAGGAGCCGUCUUGGUCGAUCGCCGAUCGCCACGCCGCUUCCAUAACACCAUCCGGGAGUCGAAGUGGCAGCGGCAGACGCACUCCGAGGCGCUCACACGAGCCGUUCACAUACGUGUCCCGCGCCUGUGCCUCGGACUUCACGACGCUGUCAGAGCACGGCAGCGAGGUACCCUCCGUCGAACCCGCCUCGCCGUCGUCGAUGCAGCCGACGACAAGCUCCUCGUCUCGCACGCACGGGUGCACAGGCGCUGCGAUGACCCCGGCGUCGUUGCCGCAGACGCCGGUGGUGAGCGGUGCCGUUCAGUCCCCGGCGUGGCUCCCUGCAGAGCCCGCGCGCACCUUUUCGGACUCGAAGACGCCGCUCUCAGUGUGCUCGCAGCCGUCAAAGGUGGGGUCGUCUUCCUCGCAGAAGGACACACUGUCACCGCCGACGUACGAGGAGGCGGUGCUGCCCUCCUCACGCAGCUCUUCGUCGCCGCGGAUUGCGGUGCUGAGCGCGACUAUGCGGCUGCAGCGCCUCUCUCCAGCAGUGGCACGUGACGGUGCUCCCUGAGGCACGCUAGUCGGUGUUCUCCGCGUUCUUAAUGUUUUUUUUUUUUUUGGGUUUCCUUUUCUUUUUGUACCCUCCCGCUUUACCCCUUCUCUCUGUCCCUCUGCUUCCGACACUCUCCUUCGACUGCCCACCGUUUCAUCCUUCUUUCUGCUCUCCCCCUCUUCCCAACACGCACGCAUGUGAGCGCGACUACCGCGUUCAGUCAACGCCGGCAGCUCACCUGCGCGUGUGUGCUCUGUUUUACGAGGACCAUUCUCUUGAUUACGGGCGCCCGCUGCGGAACGCGCGACGAAGCGUGCGAUGUGUGGAGCAGCACAUCAGCAUCGUCGCUUGCUUCCUCUGCCUCGGCCGCUCUCUCUCUCACGGACGCACGCACGCACACGCGCGCGUUCUGCAGCGGACGACCCCUUCCUCCCCACCCUCCUACUUUUUCGCUUCCUUCUCUCUGUCUUUGGGGCGCCUCUGUGGGCCGCACUCCUCUUUUCGUCUGUGUUCUCGCUACGUCUUACUCGAUCCGACAGAGACGUGGCAGGCUGCGACC
rnacentral:misc_RNA from 1 species